UAUCUUGUCUGUUCUUUUGUCCACUUCAUUAUUGUUGGUGUAUAUGUUGCAGGUCCCGAAGAUGGUCCAAUACCAUUAGGAUUGAAAGUAUGGAAGACCAUACCGUUGGUCGAAGAUACACAUGUGAUGGUGCUAAACCCGGUAGAUAUCGGGAAGGGGUCCCAAGCUGGUGAUCUUGGUACGAUGGUAACAUGACAAAGAAUGGACACGGUAUUUACUCAGGUUCGGGCCCUCUUAAAGAGGUAAAACCCUUUGUCUUGCUUUGUUGUAUUGAUUGUGGAUGGGGUAUAGAGUACAUGUUGAUCUACCUCGAGAUCGUAUGUGUGAAUGAACCUCUUUGUAGAUCUAAUGAUCUAAGUUGUAAUGAUCUAUUGACUAUCUUGGCCUCGUUUAUAUAAUGUACCGGAGGCCUAGGAUUUAGAAGAGUCCUCGUCCUGUGCGCCAAGUCUUGUGGAAUAUCCAUUGUAUAUGUCAUGGGCUGCCCGAAGAAUCCUAGUAAUUAAUCGCCAUGAGGGUCCUCGGCCUGGCCCUCCUGUCCGUGAGAUGACAUGGCGAGCACCCCCAACAUGUUCCUUCUGGUCCAUAAAAAAUCUCCGUAAAGUUUUGUGGCAUUUGGACUCUGUCUGAUAUUGAUUUUUUGUGAUGUAAAAAACAUGGAAAAGCAGGAACUAGCACUUGGCACUAUGUCAAUAGUUUAGUACCAAAAAAUGAUAUAAAAUGACUAUAAAAUGAUUAUAAAACAUCCAAAAUUGAUAAUAUAACAACAUGGAACAAUAAAAAAUUAUAGAUACGUUGGAGACGUAUCAGCAUCUCCAAGCUUAACUCCUACUCGUCCUCGAGUAGGUAAGUGAUAAAAAUAGAAUUUUUAAUAUGGAGUGCUGUUUAACAUGUCAUAUCAUAUUCUUUUCUUUAUAGCAUGGACAUUUGGACUUUUUAUGUGAUUCAAAGCAAUAGUCUAGUUUUGACAUAAUAAUUUAGAUACUCAAGCAUAUCAACAAGCAACCAUGUCUUUCAAAAUAUCAACGCUAAAAUGAGUUAUCCCUAGCCCAUUAUGAUCAAACAUUGAUCCAUUCAUGAAACACACUCGAAUAUUAGCUACACCCAAUACUUAAGUACGAUCAUAUUGCCUCCUAGUUGGUGCUUUUUAUAAGAGAAGAUGGAGACUCAAAUUCAAAAAUAAAAAUUGCAUAAAGUAGAAGAAAGGCCCUUCGCAGAGGGAAGUAGGGAUUUAUAGAGGUGCCAGAGCUCAAAGCGAAAAACUUAGAGAUAAAUACAUUUUGGGAAGUGUAUCCAUCCCACCAACUAAUAGUUCCCAAUAUUUUCCAUGCAUAGAUAUAUCAUAGGCGGUUCCCAAAUAGAAAAUAAAGAUUAUUCCUUUUUCCACCAUAACGUUCGCUUUCCAUGGCUAACCGUAUCCACGGGUGCCCUCCAUACCAACACUUUCCAAGGAAUUUAUUAUUUGACAACAUAAAGUAAAUUCAUUUUUGCAUUUCGGGACUGGGCAUCCCUAAUACCUUUGCUUUACUCUCGUGUAAUGACAAGUGAAUAAACACUCAUCUUGAGAAUAACAUAUCUAGCAUGGAAAAUAUUAGCCACCCCUCACCGCUCCGCGAGCGAAACAAACACACAAAAGAGAAGUUUAUUUUGAAAAUUAGAGAUGGCACAUGCAAAUUUGCUUAGAACAACAAAAGAAUACCACAUAUAGGUAGAUAUAGUGGACUCAUGUGGCAAAACUGGGUUAAAGGUUUUUGGAUGCACAAGUAGUGAUCAUACUUAGUGCAAAAUGAAGGCUAGCAAAAGAUUGGGAAGUGACCAACUAAGAAACAGAUAAUCUCAUAAGCAAGCAUUAAGCAUAAUUAACACCGAAUAAUGCACCACAAGUAGGAUAUAAUUUUCAUUGCAUGAUUAUUGACUUUCAUGCAUGCAUAGGGAAUCACAAACCUUAACACCAAUAUUCUUAGUAGAGCACAAUUGCUCAUCAACAUAACUCACAUAUCACAUCAUCAUAUCUCAAAACUAUUACUAAGAAUCAAGUUUAUUUUGUCCAAUGAUCUUCAUGACAUUUUUUUCUUUAUCCUUCUUGGAUAUCUAUCACUUUGGGACUAAUUUUCAUGUGUUUCUUUUCAUAAGCUCAAACAAAUAUAAGUGAAGAUCAUGAGCAUAAUAAAUUUUUCUUUCUCUCAAAAUAAUUUAAGUGAAGCAAGAGAGAAUUUCUUCAAAAAUACUAAGCACACCAUGCUCAAAAAGAUAUAAGUGAAGCACUAGAGAAAGUCCUAGCUCAUAAAAAAAUUUAAGUGAAGUAUAGAGAGCAAUUCUAACAAGUCAUGUCAUAAUUUUGGCUCUCUCUAAUAGGUGUGUCCAGCAAGGAUUGAUGACUUAAAACACAAAAUAAAACAAGCAAAGGCUCAUAUCAUACAGGACGCUCCAAGCAAAAAACAUAUCAUGUGACGAAUAAAAAUAUAGUUUCAAGUAAAAUACCGAUGAUCGUUGGAAGAAAGCGGGGAUGCCACUCGGGGGCAUCCCCAAGCUUAGUUGGUUGCUCAUUUUUGGAUAAUAUCUUGGGAUGCCGGGGCAUCCCUCAGCUUAGGCUCUUCCAUCCUUCCUUCAUCCAUCGUAAGAUAACCCUAAACUUGAAAACUUAAAUCACACAAAACUCAACAAAACCUUCGUGAGAUCCGUUAGUAUAAGAAUAAUAAACCACUACUAUAAGUGUCAAGCACUUUCACCCUAUUCUUCAUGUUUCAAGUGAUCAAUCAGAGUAAAAGGUCAUUCCAGUUUAUGGGGUUCUCGCCGGUUCUGCAAUAGUUUGGUCACGUACUCGUCAGCCACAGCCCAUACACACACUGACAUUGUGCACUCCAGACGGGAAUGCCUUACCCUUGAGGAAUCCAUGUGACCGUGUAUCUUGCAUCUCGUGUAACAUGCAUUCCUAUGAACUACUUCCUCCGUAUCGAUGCAUUAACCAUUUUACGAAAACCAUAUAGUCUCAAAACACUCUGGGGUGGUGCAUUAACUCUCACCUUAUUUCUUAUUUCUUGACAUGAAUAAAUGAAUCAACCAAUAAGAGAUGUGGGGCGUGUAUGUUUUUAAUGAGUUGAGACUACCUACCACGGCAUGCAGUGGUUAAUUCAUUGCAUGCAAUGGUAUUAAUUAGCUAAUGAACAUUACGCUCUCUUGUUUUCCCUUCGUUUUGGUCCUGAUGCACAACGUAAGAUGACUUAGACUACCCAUAGUGGGGAGUAACUUUAGUAACAUGCAUAUGUUACUAGUCUAUGUUACUACCUGCAUAACGAGGAGUAACAUAUGUAUGGUGUCAUGCAAUACUCCAUUUAUUAGGUUAUAGACUCAUCUUGUUUUGGUAUGUGUGAUGUUACUCAUAGUAUGAAUAACAUACAAUGUUACCAUAUGCCUCUUUUUCCUCAUUAAUUUCUUGCCACAUCAUCUAUCAUCUAUUUUACCUAGUUAUGUGUGAUGUUAUCAUCUACUUUACUCUCACUAUGGAGUACGGAGGGAGUGGCAUGAUUCUGCCGUGAGAAGUGAGUGCUUGGCAAGCCGCGACAAAAAUACCCUGAUCUUUACCGGCACUUGGACUCUUCAAAGAGAUGUCCAGUUCUUCUCCAACUGUCUUGUUGGAGUUCGACGCUCUACCUUCCAGCCACGCCUCCCAUCUUCCCUUGGUGCAAGCGAGCAUGAUGAGAACACUUGUUUGCAAAUAGUUUUACUUGUUUUAAGUACCACUUUAUGUAUUACCUUUAACAAAUUUUCCACGGCAAUGCGCAGGGAUCAUCUAAUAGUAUACAAAUAGGUACCCCGAUAGAAAAAAGAUACGUGGGCUCAAUCAGUAGCGGAGAGCGGCAUGGAAGUAAGAUGGGGCCAAUUGAUAAGCCAAAUUAAUAGCACUGGCAAAAUAAAAAAAAUUGUCUCACAUGGGCCAACAAUUACAAAUUUAUUAGGCCUCGUAAGUGGGUUGCGCCUUCCCCUCAGAAGCUCCCCUCCUGAGUUCAACCUUAUUUUUUCUGAGAUACAGGUCCAUUAAUGUACAUGUCUAAUGUCUUAUACUAGUGUGAUUUAUAGAAUUCAAUGCAUAUUUCCAAAGUGCGAUGCAAUAUUGUAGCAAUUUGCCGUUAAUGUUGUAGCUUGUAGAUGUGCAACUAAUGUAUACAUUUAUUUUUUGAUGCAGUACCAUAUCUUAAAAAGUUAAUAUAAUUAAUCUAAUGUUGUAGCCCGUAGAUGUGCAAUUAAUGUACACAUUCCUUUUUUGAUGCAGUAAUAUAUCUUCAAGAUAUAUAUAAUUAAUGUAAUGUUAUACGCCCGUAGAUGUGCAAUUAAUGUACACAUUCAUUUUUUUGAUGCAAUACCAUAUCUUCGAGAUAUAUAUAAUAAUGUAUUGUUGUAGCGUGUAGAUAUGCAACUAAUGUACACAUUCAUUCUUUUCAUGCAGUGCCAUAUCUUCGAGAUAUAUCAUAUAUACAACUAAUGUGUGUAAAACGUGUCGAUAUGAAGUUAAUGUACACAUUUAUUGUUUGAUGCUAUUUCAUAUCUUAAAGGUCUAGCCUGUAGAUAUAAAGUUAAUGUACACAUUCAUUAUUUGAUACAAUAUCUUCAAGAUAUAGAACUAAUGUAUGAUGUAGCCUCUGUUGGAACCGCUCUUUCACACUGAUAGAUGGAGAUAGAAGAAGAAGGAGCACACAAUACAAUGGAGUUUCACCCGGCUUCACAGCCCCGUUAGUCUUCCGAGAGCCCCAAAAACUCUCCCCUCAACAAAUACACUCGUGGUCAUGGCUUUGUAGUGGCACAGCAACGCAGCGCCCAUGUUUCCUUGUGCGCAUGUACGCACGCCGCCUAGCUAGCUACCCUGCAUGCAAUCCAUCAGCCCGGCCAUGCGCACUACAUGCGCGCUACGCGCACGACGCGACCAUCUCCACCGGUCACUACUAACAAUCAGCUAACUAACUCACACGCAACAAGCAAACUUGGCCGGCACACUUGCCAACGCCCUGCUCUACGUGCCAGACUCGAGUGUAUACACGCUACACACACAUACGCCACGCUUCUGCGUCCCGUACGUCCCGCCCGUCCCGCAUGUCACCGACGCGCCCGACAAACCCGACGAGCCCGACGGCACCAGUGUGCCCCGCCCGUCCCGCGCGCACCCGACGCGCCCGACGAGCCCGAUCACACACGCCGUGGCUUAUUCCAACACACACCACUUAAGCCACGGCCUAGAGGAGUCCGUCAUCGUCGAUGUUGGCGCCGGCCAAGAGUGCAUGCUCCGCCGCCGGUCCUUUCCGCAGCUGCGGGCACUUGCGCCGGAAGUGACCGUGCUCCCCGCACUUGUAGCAGCGCCUGCGCCCGUCGUCGUCGUCCCGAGCACCGCCGUGUCGACGCUCCCAUGCUGCCCACUGCACAGCCGUCAUGAGCAGCUGCUCACCUCCGCGCUCGCCGCCAUCUUGUCCACGGCGCCGAACCCGCUCGUCGAACGCACGCAGCCGCCCGAGCGCUUCGUCGAACGCAAUCAUCGUCACAUCGUGGAACUGCUCGAUGCCGGCGACGACGGAGAAGAGGCAAUCCGGCACCAUAUCCAGCAACUUCUUGACAAGUGCCGCGUCGCCCAGCGUCUCCCCGAGGUUGGCAUACCUCGCUGCCAUCGCCGCGAGCCUCCCGCCGUACACGUCGAGCUCCUCGCCGUCCGCCAUCUUCAUCCGGUCGAAUUCGCCACGCAGCGUCCCCAGCCUCGCCGCGCAGACCCGAUCAGCGCCGACGAACCUCACCUUCAGGGAGUCCCAUACCUCCCUGGCGGUGAGCUUCGUCGACACCUUCAGCAGCACAUCCUCCGGCAACGCCCCGAGAAGCAACACGCGCGCCAUCUUGUCCUUCCGCGUGUUCACCGCCGCGUCGCCCAGCGCCACCGCCUCCCAUACGGUGUGGACAUCGAGGAUCGCCUGCGCCUUGAUGGCCCAGACCGUGUAGUUGUCCGCGGUCAGCAAAGGCAUCGCCAUCCUUGCUGAUCCGCUCGCGCCGCCGCCGUGUGGGACGAGCGCCAUGGUCGCCGGUGAUCGCCCGAACCAAAGCUCUGUAUAUCAAUUGUUGGAACCGCUCUCUCACGCUGAUGGAUGGAGAUAGAAGAAGAAGGAGCACAGAGUACAAUGGAGUUUCACCCGGCUUCACAGCCCCGUUACUUUUUCCGGAGCCUCAAAAACUCUCCUCAACAAAUACACUCGUGGUCAUGGCUUUGUAGUGGCACAAUAACGCAGCGCCGACGUUUCCUUGUGCGCACGUACGCACGCUGCCUAGCUAGCUACCCUGCAUGCAAUCCAUCAGCCCGGCCAUGCGCACUACAUGCGCGCUACGCGCACGACGCGGCCAUCUCCACCGGUCACUGCUAACAAUCAACUAACUAACUCACACGCAUCAAGCAAACUUGGCCGGCACACUUGCCAACGCCCUGCUCUACGUGCCAGACUCGAGUGUAUACACGCUACACACACAUACGCCACGCUUCUGCAUCCCGCACGUCCCGCACGUCACCGACGCACCCGACAAGCCCGACGACACCAGUGUGUCCCGCCCGUCCCGCGCGCACCCGACGAGCCCGAUCACACACGCCGUGGCUUAUUCCAACACCUAGAUGUAUAAUUAAUGUAUACAUUAAUUGUCUGACGCGGUGCUAUAUCUUCAUGAUAUACAACUGGUGUAUGCGUCUGUAUCAUCAUCUCAAAGAAGGCUAUAUAUACCAAGACAUAGCUAGCGACAUCAUGUAUCCCACACAUUCACAGAAGCCACACAAAUCCUAUAUUGUACGAUUCUAAUAUCAAAGGGAUAGAGAAGGCUUUAGUGUAGGAGAUACAAAAGCCAUAGCCAUGGCGAAACUCAUGUGCUUAUAUUUCAUCAUCCUCACUAUUGCGGUAGCCGUGUCGGCCGACGAAUGUGAGGGUGACCGACAGACCAUGAUCAAGGAGUGUGCUAAGUAUCAAAAUUGGCCAGCAAACCCGAAGCUAGAUCCGUCGGACGCAUGCUGCGCCGUGUGGCAGAAGGCAAACAUCCCAUGCCUUUGUGUUGGUGUCACCAAGGAGAAAGAGAAGAUAUGGUGUAUGGAGAAUGUUGCCUACGUUGCCAAUUUCUGCAAGACGCCAUUCCCACACGGCUACAAGUGCGGAAGUAAGUGAAAUAUAUUAAGGGAAUUACGAUGAUCGGCAUUUCAUACAUGCAGUUUUGAUAUUUAUUAUUCUUUGGAGUCACACGGCUUUGAUUUUAGUUAUGCAUUUUAUAUGCUUCUUGCGCUAUUCUCAUCAUAUGUCGGGUCAAAUUGAAUGGUCUUGCAGGUUACACAUUUCCUCCUCUGGCGUAGUGAUUCUAGUUUAGCCGCGGGAGGAGAAGCAUUGGCUUUUACAUUAUAUGUGUGUGGCCUCACAGGAGCUUCCCUUUCACAUUUGUAAUUCGUGAGGUUUUACUCAUAAUAGUUUAAUUCGUGAGGUUUUACUCAUAAUAGUUUAUGUUAAUCACCCUGCAUGAGAACGUUUGUGAAACUAAUAAAGUCUUCUCCUCAAAUUGUCUAAAUUAUGUUUGUUCAUACACAAUAUUUUUGGUUCUAUUUACGGCUCAUUGCAGGUGAAGGGAUCAAGGAUAUUAGAAGAAAUUACUGUUGUUAAAGCAACAACUUUCAUGUGCUUUUUAUAUCCAAAGUUAAUGGGUUCAUUUAUGGCUGAGCUCAACCAAUUUUUCAUCUUAGUAACUCUUAUUCCUCGACCCUGGCUGAUGCAAAGCUCCAAAUACAACUUACUUUGCUAAAAGUGAGGAGACUCAUGGGGAAGGGGAUGAGAAAGAUAAAUGGCAUAUUCAGUUAGUUGUAUAUAUGAUUUCACACACAAAUCUGGUGUAGUUCGAUUGUAACGGUUUACUUGGAUUUUGCAAUGCGUGCAACGGCUGCUUUGUACAAUGUAUACACUACCAACUUUUUAUCACACGAAGUAUUUCAACUAGCAGCUAGGCUCCCUUAAGGUUCUUUUUAGCUUAUUCUUCUUUAGCUUAAUCUUAGAUUUUCAUUGGCUUGGUCUUGAUGAUUUCCACGUAGACAGCGCGUGGGACUAGGUGGGAUGCUCGGGUAGGACUUUUCUAUGACAUGUAUAUCACAAAUUUGGGCAAGAAGGCUCUACUUUUCAUCUCUGUGACUAAGGGAACAUUAAUAUAGAAAUAGUUAGAACGUGCAUAGAUAUACAAGAGGGAGGAGGAGAGUUAAGGACAAAAAAAUAGUUAAAGGUGGACCAAAGGUAUCACACCAGGCUACCAAAGUAGCCCUAAAUACAGAACAUGAGAAACAGAAGGACCAUAGUCUGUUGUCCUCAGCGCAGAUGCGCGACUUCUUUCUAAUAGAAGACACACACAACAUCAUCAGCUAUCAACGUAAUCUGCAAAAGAAGUCUUCAUUAGGAUAGGCAAUUGACAGAGCACACAUAUGCUUUCUCUGAAAGAGGGUCGAACCCUUUUGGAAAAUAACAACUAAAAUGGUCUAUGAUACAUCACUUGUAUACACAUAGGUCUGCUAGGGAGAAUAACCAUUUUUGAAUUUCAACCGCGCGACUUGAGAAGCUCUAGUUUCUACUUGUAGCAGCCGGAGUUGAUCAAUCAUCCAAUUCUCAUCGAUGGCAAUCAUGUUAAGUUGAUUUCCUUCACCACUCUCGCAUUCAAAACAAAGAAAUUGGAAAAGCCAACUUCUUUCUCACCACCUUUGUAAUUCUUCAACACCAUUACUUUGAGAUGGUUCUCAAGGCAUUUCACUGGAUUUAGUAGUGGGUCAGACUGAGGAUGCAAGUUCUUCAUCUUUGCCUUCAAAUACUCCUCUCAUUGGGAAAUGCCAGAUACAUGUUAAAUAGGCAGUUGCUAACUAGACUAGAAUAUAUAAACGAGAAUCAAGAAUUUAUUUCAACAUUUAAGGCAAACAAAAAUUAGCACUUACAAUGACAUAGAACUUUUCCAAGAAGGGGAAGCAACUGAGAAGAUUGAGAACGACAUCCAAAUCUGGGCCAGAAAACUUGAGGGCCAAAAUAUUCCUGGUGCAUAUCGAGUGGCCUAAGAUGGGCCAGAUUGUUCCCUAAAAAAUAAAACAAUGGACAUGAGAAACAAUUAUGCAUGCAUCUAGGAUUGCUAGCUGAAUGUGAGAGCCAAUAAGGGUGUUGUUGAUAGCUAGUUGGAUGCGACCAUUUUCCUAGAACUGGCUAUUUACACUCACAGUGCUAAGUAGUUGUCACUAGAAGUCAAUGUUUGUAUUGCUAUGCCAGCUUGGGGUAAAUAGUAUGUUUAUCUUGUCUGUUCUUUUGUCCACCUCAUUAUUGUUGGUGUAUAUGUUGCAGGUCCCGAAUAUGGUCCAAUACCAUUAGGAUUGAAAGUAUGGAAGACCAUACCGUUGGUCGAAGAUACACAUGUGAUGGUGCUAAACCCGGUAGAUAUCGGGUAGGGGUCCCAAGCUGGUGAUCUUGGUAUGAUGGUAACAUGACAAAGAAUGGACACGGUAUUUACUCAGGUUCGGGCCCUCUUAAAGAGGUAAAACCCUUUGUCUUGCUUUGUUGUAUUGAUUCUGGAUGGGGUAUAGAGUACAUGUUGAUCUACCUCAAGAUCGUAUGUGUGAAUGAACCUCUUUGUAGAUCUAAUGAUCUAAGUUGUAAUGAUCUAUUGACUAUCCUGGCCUCGGUUUCUAUAAUGUACCGGAGGCCUAGGAUUUAGAAGAGUCCUCGUCCUGUGCGCCAAGUCUUGUGGAAUAUCCAUUGUAUAUGUCAUGGGCUGCCCGAAGAAUCCUAG
rnacentral:lncRNA from 1 species